AUUGAACGCUGGCGGCAGGCCUAACACAUGCAAGUCGAGCGAGCGGCGGACGGGUGAGUAAUGUCUGGGAAACUGCCUGAUGGAGGGGGAUAACUACUGGAAACGGUAGCUAAUACCGCAUACCAUCAGAUGUGCCCAGAUGGGAUUAGCUAGUAGGUGGGGUAAUGGCUCACCUAGGCGACGAUCCCUAGCUGGUCUGAGAGGAUGACCAGCCACACGGGAACUGGGACACGUUCCAGACUCCUACGGGAGGCAGCAGUGGGGAAUAUUGCACAAUGGGCGCAAGCCUGAUGCAGCCAUGCCGAGUGUGUGAUGAAGGCCUUCGGGUUGUAAAGCACUUGCAGCGAGGAGGCGUUACUCGCAGAAUAAGCACCGGCUAACGCCGUGCCAGCAGCCGCGGUAAUUC
rnacentral:rRNA from 1 species